AUUUGAAUGAUUCUAAUUCUUAUGAUGGGCUUGAGGGCUUUUAUUUGGGGAUUUUUUUGAUAUUUUUUUAGCAUGCUUUGAUGUAUUAGGAACCAGAAAAGGAUCUUUAUUUCUUGCAGUGAUGAUUUUAAACCUGAAGUUAGCAGGUUGACAUAAAGUAGCUAGCCACGGUUAAGCGACUACUGAACUUGCUUCAAAAUGCAGUAUUAGAAUUUCCCAUGCAUGCUAUUGCAGUGUAAUAAGGGUUUGCCAAUCGCCCACGGGAGGGAAGUGGUUAUCCUAGGCUCCAGCAGGGGAAAUGGGCAAGAGUGGCCCUAGGUACGUGAGGAAAAAGGUUCCUUUGCAUGAGUUGGAGAGGGCAGAAGUAAGGACCAUGUUGAGGGGAGAGCAGAAUGAGGGAAAUUAGCAAUUAGAAUGAGGAAA